AUUGAACGCUGGCGGCAGGCCUAACACAUGCAAGUCGAGCGAGCGGCGGACGGGUGAGUAAUGUAUGUGGCCUGCCCGAUAGAGGGGGAUAACUACUGGAAACGGUGGCUAAUCCCGCAUUCUAUCGGAUAUCCCAUAGGGGAGUAGCUAGUAGGUGGGGUAAAGGCUCACCUAGGCGACGAUCCCUAGCUGGUCUGCGAGGAGGAUCAGCGACACGGGGAAUGUGACACGGCCCAGACUCCUACGGAGGCAGCAGUGGGGAAUAUUGCGCAAUGGGCGCAAGCCGGAUGCGGCCAUGCCGCGUGUAUGAAGAAGGCCUUAGGGUUGGAAAGUACUUUCAGCGGGGAGGGGUUACCCGGAGAAGAAGCACCGGCUAACUCCGUGCCAGCAGCCGCGGUAAUAC
rnacentral:rRNA from 1 species